AAAGGACCACGGCUCUCCCUUCUCAACUGCAACCUCAAGUGACAACACUAAUGACGGAAUGCGCCGUCCACACAGUACCCCGGAAGUACAAAAAGUUGAAACCUCGACAGGAGUCGACGAUGACAUUGUAUACGAAGAACAUCUACAGGAUGGCUGCAGGGCCCUGCAGACUGGAGACCUGGACAAGGCAGAACAAAGUUUUGCAGCUGCGCUCAAG